rnacentral:rRNA from 1 species
CCUACGGGUGGCAGCAGUAGGGAAUCUUCGGCAAUGGGGGGAACCCUGACCGAGCAACGCCGCGUGAGUGAAGAAGGUUUUCGGAUCGUAAAGCUCUGUUGUAAGAGAAGAACGGGUGUGAGAGUGGAAAGUUCACACUGUGACGGUAUCUUACCAGAAAGGGACGGCUAACUACGUGCCAGCAGCCGCGGUAAUACGUAGGUCCCGAGCGUUGUCCGGAUUUAUUGGGCGUAAAGCGAGCGCAGGCGGUUUGAUAAGUCUGAAGUUAAAGGCUGUGGCUCAACCAUAGUUCGCUUUGGAAACUGUUUAACUUGAGUGCAAGAGGGGAGAGUGGAAUUCCAUGUGUAGCGGUGAAAUGCGUAGAUAUAUGGAGGAACACCGGUGGCGAAAGCGGCUCUCUGGCUUGUAACUGACGCUGAGGCUCGAAAGCGUGGGGAGCAAACAGGAUUAGAUACCCUAGUAGUC